GAGGAAAGUCCGGGCUCUAAUUAGAGAAAUAUCGCUGUAUAAAAAAACAGUGUAGGUAACUACGAGGAUAGUGCCACAGAAAUAAACCGCUUAAAAGUAUUAAAAUUUAAGUAAGGGUGCAAAGGUAUGGUAAGAGCGUACCAGAAAUAUAUUCAUAAUAUUUGCUAGGUAAACCCCAUAAUAGAGCAAAGUAAUAAGUCAAAUAUAUUAAUUUCUCUAUUUUUAGUAUUUCAAUACUUAUUAAUUAAAACUGCAAUAGUUUAUUAUUUUUUAUAUUUAAGAUUAAUGAUUACCCUUUUUAAACUAUUGUUAUUAUCAAUAAAUAUAUUUAUAUAUAUUUUAUUGAAAUAGUAUAAUUAAGAACAAAAUCCGGCUUAU
rnacentral:RNase_P_RNA from 1 species